rnacentral:misc_RNA from 1 species
UCCGGUUUAUCACCGGCAGUCUCCACAGAGUCCUCGGCAUUACCCGUUAGUAACUGUGAACAAGGGUUGCGCUCGUUGCGGCACUUAAGCCAACACCUCACGGCACGAGCUGACGACAGCCAUGCACCACCUGUGCAGGCUCCGAAGAGCGCCCGCUUUCACGGGUUCCACCCUGCAUGUCAAACCCAGGUAAGGUUCUUCGCGUUGCAUCGAAUUAAGCAACAUGCUCCGCCGCUUGUGCGGGCCCCCGUCAAUUUCUUUGAGUUUUAGCCUUGCGGCCGUACUCCCCAGGCGGGGUACUUAAUGCGUUAGCUACGGCACGGAUCCCAAGGAAGGAAACCCACACCUAGUACCCACCGUUUACGGCGUGGACUAC